AUUAGAGUAGCUUAAAGAAAAAGCCUGGCGUUGAAAAUGCCAAACUAAUGGUUAAAGCCCAUUCUCUAAUA
rnacentral:tRNA from 1 species